UACGUAGGCAGCGAGCGUUGUUCGGAGUUACUGGGCGUAAAGCGUGCGUAGGCGGUGCCAUAAGUCUGUUGUGAAAUCUCCCGGCUUAACUGGGAGGGUGCGGUGGAAACUGUGGUGCUGGAGUGUGGGAGAGGUAGGCGGAAUUCCUGGUGUAGCGGUGAAAUGCGUAGAUAUCAGGAGGAACACCGAUGGCGAAGGCAGGUCUCUGGGCCAUAACUGACGCUGAGAAGCGAAAGCAUGGGGAGCGAACAGG
rnacentral:rRNA from 1 species